UUGGAGGGCAUUUCUGGAACUUCCAGAACCUGCUGUGGCUGAACCUUGGUAGGUAGGCUUUUCAGAAUAGUACACUGCUCUUGUACUUCUCGAUAGAGACCUUUGCCUUUAACCAUUGACUUCUGAUCAGAGUUAUGCUUCGUGUUGGAACUUGUGAAGCUUGGUGAUCAGAGUCAGAGGGAUGCUUGGAUCCUCUGACCUUCGUAACUUCUGCUUCUGGACCUUCAGAGCUUCUGAACCUUCAGAGCCUCUGGUCCCUCAGAGCUUCUGGUCUUCAGAUCUUCUGAUCCUCAGAUCUUCUGAUCCUCUGAUCUUCUGAUCCUCUGAUCCUCUGAUCUUCAGAUCCUCUGAUCUUCAGAUCCUCUGAUCCUCUGAUCUUCUGAUCCUCUGAUCCUCUGAUCCUCAGAUCCUCUGAUCUUCAGAUCCUCUGAUCCUCAGAUCUUCUGAUCUUCAGAACUUCUGACGAAUAUAUCUUCUGGUGUCAGAAUCAGAACCUGUUUGUCAAAACACUCAAGACAAACAUUAGAGUAUCAUAGUUGUUCAUCCACAAAUAAAUACUUGUUAUCAUCAAAACAUAGAGUUGUACCACAUGACCAAAUCUUGAUCUUACAA
rnacentral:lncRNA from 1 species